GUUGUAUGGUUAAGUGACUAAGCGUACACGGUGGAUGCCUUGGCAGUCAGAGGCGAUGAAGGACGUAUUAACUUGCGAUAAGCCCAGAUUAGGUAGUAAAAACCAUUUGAGUCUGGGAUUUCCGAAUGGGGAAACCCAAUACCAUAAGGUAUUACUGU
rnacentral:rRNA from 1 species